UUCGCCACACCUAUUUCUAGCAAAACUGCUACUUUCGAUGAUGAAAAACUCGAAAAUAAGGGAAAAGUUAUAGAGGAAGCUUACCUCAAAGAUGCUCAACCCCUCUGCUGCCCAAAGCUCGACUUCUCCCUUUCGCCGGAACUACUGACAGCACACAUCGUCGACGGCACUCGACGAAAUCAGCAGGAACUCGACAGCUAUAUCAGCGAAACAAAUGGUACAUCAAAUAAGAGAACACCAUGAGUGUUCAAUGGCACGAGCUCAAGAAAAAAAGAGGAAAGAGAGGUGAGAAGAUUCACCUUGAUGAAGCUCGGUCGUUCCUUGCCAACGUUGUUCCUACCGCCGUUGG
rnacentral:lncRNA from 1 species